rnacentral:rRNA from 1 species
GAGUCGGACCUGCCCAGUGAAAAUUUUUUCAACGGCCGCGGUACUCUGACCGUGCAAAGGUAGCAUAAUCAUUUGCCCUAUAAUUGAGGGCUAGUAUGAAUGGUUUGACGUGAACAAAACUGUCUCCAUGUAAUUUAUUAGAAUUUGAUUUCUAGGUGAAGAAACCUAGAUAUUAUUGAAAGACAAGAAGACCCUAUCGAGCUUUAAAAAAAUAAAUUGAAAAUAAUACUAUAAUUUUAGAUAUUAAUCAACUUUAAAUUUUGGUUGGGGCGACUAUGGAACAAAAAAAGCUUCUUUAUUAUUAAAUGAACUGUCAAGUUUUGAUCCAGAAAUUUUGAUUAAUGGAAAUAGUUACCGUAGGGAUAACAGCAUAAUUCUCUUUGAGAGCCCAAAUCGAAAAGAGAGUUUGUGACCUCGAUGUUGGACUAGAAUAUCCUAAAGAUGCAGCAGUCUUUAAGGGUUGGUC